CUCCUAUAUGCUGUAUGCAAUCCGCAUAUACCUAUGGUUAUAGCCCGGCUACGGGUGCAGGGUGAUGUGACAGUCAUUUGUCGUGUUCGACAGCCCCGGGCUGCUUUUGAAGAGAUAUAUCAACAAAAAUUCCAUUAUGUGCUUUCUGUUCUUCAGGAUUAAAAUGGUGUUGGACGUUUUUCGGAAAGUGCGGUUGUUUUCGGGAGUGCGUUCAGUGUCGCGCUGGGACGGACAGGUCCGCGCAGUUGAACAGACGCGUCGUCGACGUCGUCCUCAGGGCGUCGUCUCCGUCGUUCGGGCCGUCGAGCUCCACGUGGGGGUUCCGGUCGCCGCCGUUUUCGAGGCAACGG